GCCGGGCUCAGUUACGUGGGCCUGUGACCCAAGUGGGGGCAUUAAAGUUAUAGGAGGGUCAAGAGCUAGGGGCCACUUUGGAUCCGGGAGUUUGUGGAUGGGGCUAUGCUGUGAGGUGUUUGUUUGGCCCAUUAAGAUUGAUGGUGUCCAGAGAUUGGCCUAGCAAGGUUUGGUGGAGCCUUGACUAGAGCCGUGAUUCCAGCCCAGAUGUGGCUAGGAGAGAAAAAGCCCAGCCCAAAUGUGGUGUGGCUUAGGUGAUCAGCGAAAGCUGUGUAUGUAAUCCCCUGGAGGCAGAUAGCUCGCCCCUUCUCUUGGCUAAUGUGGACUCCUUCUUGGCCCAACUAUAACUUUU
rnacentral:SRP_RNA from 11 species